GACGAACGCUGGCGGCGUGCCUAACACAUGCAAGUCGAGCGAGGAACUUCGGUUCCUAGCGGCGGACGGGUGAGUAACACGUGGGUAACCUGCCUCAAAGAGGGGGAUAGCCUCCCGAAAGGGAGAUUAAUACCGCAUAACAUUAAAUUACCGCAUGGUAGUUUAAUUAAAGGAGUAAUCCGCUUUGAGAUGGGCCCGCGGCGCAUUAGCUAGUUGGUGAGGUAACGGCUCACCGAGGCCACGAUGCGUAGCCGACCUGAGAGGGUGAUCGGCCACAUUGGAACUGAGAUACGGUCCAGACUCCUACGGGAGGCAGCAGUGGGGAAUAUUGCACAAUGGGCGAAAGCCUGAUGCAGCAACGCCGCGUGAGUGAUGAAGGCCUUCGGGUUGUAAAGCUCUGUCUUUGGGGACGAUUAUGACGGUACCCAAGGAGGAAGCCACGGCUAACUACGUGCCAGCAGCCGCGGUAAUACGUAGGUGGCAAGCGUUGUCCGGAUUUACUGGGCGUAAAGGAUGCGUAGGCGGAUAUUUAAGUCAGAUGUGAAAUACCCGAGCUUAACUUGGGUGCUGCAUUUGAAACUGGAUAUCUAGAGUGUGGGAGAGGAAAGUGGAAUUCCUAGUGUAGCGGUGAAAUGCGUAGAGAUUAGGAAGAACACCAGUGGCGAAGGCGACUUUCUGGACCAUAACUGACGCUGAGGCAUGAAAGCGUGGGGAGCAAACAGGAUUAGAUACCCUGGUAGUCCACGCCGUAAACGAUGGGUACUAGGUGUAGGGGGUAUCGACUCCCUCUGUGCCGCAGUUAACACAAUAAGUACCCCGCCUGGGGAGUACGGUCGCAAGAUUA
rnacentral:rRNA from 1 species